ensembl:ncRNA lncRNA:CR44097 long non-coding RNA:CR44097
AACUGUGUUAAACAGCUGACAGCCGGCAUUCAUUUGUUGUUCUCUGUGAUUUUACGUAAUAUUGCCAGGCUCCUCAAAUUGGAAUCGUGGACUACGACGUGGUCAAGAAACUACCCAGCGAACCACAGAAACUGCUCAUCGAUGUCCGGGAGCCGGAAGAGCUGAAGGAAACCGGACAAAUCCCCGCCAGCAUCAACAUCCCUCUGGGCGUGGUUAGUCAGGAAUUGGCGGCCAGUGAGCAGCUUUUUAAAUCCAAAUAUGGCCGGGAAAAACCGAAGCCAGAAACGGAGAUUAUAUUCCACUGCAAGAUUGGCAAAAGAAGCCUUAAGGCUGCAGAAGCUGCCGCCGCAUUGGGAUUCAAGAAUGUAAAGAACUACCAGGGAUCUUGGCUGGAUUGGGCCGAACGAGAGGGCCUGCCCAAGUAAAUAACAUUGCUAUGCGAAUAAUGACAUUAUCCAUCUGGUUAAUCCAUUAUUUUGCAACAAUAAUUCCAUUUCGCCCAAACAACCCGAUUACUCAUUUUUAAAAAUAAACACAUUUUAUGUGCUUUGGCAAGUU